rnacentral:misc_RNA from 1 species
UAGGGAGACCUACCCACUCAGAUAUCGAAAACAAUCAGCGAUUAGAUAUUGAGUUGGUCAUCCUAAGGUCGGUCCAAAUAGUUAUUGAUGGCUUUCAACUAUAUUGGUUGUUUGCUGUAGAUCACACUAUCGUUGAAUGGAAAACCGAAAAUAAACUCAGCAACUAGGCUUAUGUGCCAGACUGCUGGGAGAGAAAACCAGCCAGAACCUUGAAAACUGCAUAGUGACGCGAAAAAAAUUGCAGGCAGACAUAGACAUAAGUUAUGUUCGUGGAUGCUUUAAAGUGAAACACCAAAAUGUUUGAGU